rnacentral:rRNA from 1 species
GAUGAACGCUGGCGGCGUGCCUAAUACAUGCAAGUCGAACGCUGGAGAUCUAGCUUGCUAGAUCGAAGGAGUGGCGAACGGGUGAGUAAUACAUAAGCAACCUACCCACGAAGACUGGGAUAAUCUCUGGAAACGGGGACUAAUACCGGAUAGGUAAUCGGAAGGCAUCUUCUGGUUAUUAAAGGUUAAAAACACUGGUGGAUGGGCUUAUGGCGCAUUAGUUAGUUGGCGAGGUAACGGCCCACCAAGACGAUGAUGCGUAGCCGGCCUGAGAGGGUGAACGGCCACAUUGGGACUGAGACACGGCCCAGACUCCUACGGGAGGCAGCAGUAGGGAAUUUUCGGCAAUGGGGGCAACCCUGACCGAGCAACGCCGCGUGAGUGAAGACGGCCUUCGGGUUGUAAAGCUCUGUUGUAAGGGAAGAACGGUAGAUAGAGAAUAUCUAAGUGACGGUACCUUACCAGAAAGCCACGGCUAACUACGUGCCAGCAGCCGCGGUAAUACGUAGGUGGCGAGCGUUAUCCGGAAUUAUUGGGCGUAAAGGGUGCGUAGGCGGCCUGUUAAGUAAGUGGUUAAAUUGUUGGGCUCAACCCAAUCCAGCCACUUAAACUGGCAGGCUAGAGUAUUGGAGAGGCAAGUGGAAUUCCAUGUGUAGCGGUAAAAUGCGUAGAUAUAUGGAGGAACACCAGUGGCGAAGGCGGCUUGCUAGCCAAAGACUGACGCUCAUGCACGAAAGCGUGGGGAGCAAAUAGG